GUCUGUAUGAAGUUAUAUAAAGUCUGGCCUGCCCAUUGAAUUUUGAAAGGCCGCGGUAUUUUAACUGUGCAAAGGUAGCAUAAUAAUUAGUUUUUUAAUUGAAGGCUUGAAUGAAAGGUUGGACAAAGAAAGAUCUGUCUUUAGUAUUUAUUUUGAAUUUUACAUUUAAGUGAAAAGGCUUAAAUAAAUUUAAGGGACGAUAAGACCCUAUAAAUCUUUACACUUAUUAGUUUUUAUCAGUUUAGAAUGUGAAUUGGUUAAAUACACACUAUGUGUUUUAUUGGGGUGAUAGAGAUAUAAUAAUUAACUGUUUUGAAUAGGAAUCAAAUAUAAUUGAUUAGAAAAAGAGAUCCUUUUUAGAGAUUAAAAGUUUAAGUUACUUUAGGGAUAACAGCGUAAUUUUUUUUGAGAGUCCACAUCGAAAGAAAAGUUUGCGACCUCGAUGUUGAAUUAAAAUUUCUUUGUAGAGCAGAAGCUAUAAAAGAAAGUCUGUUCGACUUUUAAAUUUUU
rnacentral:rRNA from 1 species